AUGGACAAAGAUGAAGAAACUGAAGUUCAGAGAUGGUCAGUUAUUUGCUUCAGGUUUUAUAUUUUGAACCCAAAUUUACUGACUUCAAAUCUAGUCCUCUUUACAUGUGACAGUGCUGAAAGCCAAGGAAAGCAUUUUUUAAAUCCUUUUUCAAGACCUUUGUCCCUCCUUGAAAUUUUGAUGAUAUACUUUGUCUCUAUCUCCUAAAGUAGAUCAUUCCAAAGGAACUUUCCCACGAAUCUUUCCUAAUCAAUCAAACAAGAACAUCAUCAUAUAGUAGCUUUUCUGAUGACCAAAGCAUGCCCAAAAGGAAGAAAAUCAUCAUCUAAUUCCAAAACAAACAAACAAAAAACUCUGAAAAGUUCUAAAUUGUGUGAUAAUUCAUUCUCAUGUCAGAUACUCUAAAGAAAGAAGAAAAUGUGAUAAAUUAAUCCAGACUAAUGAGAAAAGAUUGUAAUGAGAAUGGAGAAGAGCAUUUUGUUAAUCCAUUCUUAAAAUAAUCCUCAAAGAAUGUUGUGGUCCUUUCUGGAUGCCAUAUCUUGAGAUAUGACAAGGCUUUCUUUUUUUUUUUAAUCCUACAACUCCUGAUUACAGAAAAGCAAUUAUGAGAAAAUGUAAUAAAGCAGCAGGUGAUGCUGAAUAGAAUGGAGAA
rnacentral:lncRNA from 1 species